CCUACGGGAGGCAGCAGUGAGGAAUAUUGGUCAAUGGGCGGAAGCCUGAACCAGCCAAGUAGCGUGCAGGAUGACGGCCCUACGGGUUGUAAACUGCUUUUAUACGGGAAUAACGCGCCUUACGUGUAGGGCUUUGCAUGUACCGUAUUAAUAAGGACCGGCUAAUUCCGUGCCAGCAGCCGCGGUAAUACGGAAGGUCCGGGCGUUAUCCGGAUUUAUUGGGUUUAAAGGGAGCGUAGGCCGCAUGCCAAGCGUGCUGUGAAAUGUCCGGGCUCAACCCGUGCCAUGCAGCGCGAACUGGCGGGGGUGAGUCCGCGGAGAGGAGGCGGGAUUCGUGGUG
rnacentral:rRNA from 1 species